rnacentral:rRNA from 1 species
CCUACGGGAGGCAGCAGUGAGGAAUAUUGGUCAAUGGACGAGAGUCUGAACCAGCCAAGUAGCGUGAAGGAUGACUGCCCUAUGGGUUGUAAACUUCUUUUAUAUGGGAAUAAAACGUUCCACGUGUGGGAUUUUGUAUGUACCAUAUGAAUAAGGAUCGGCUAACUCCGUGCCAGCAGCCGCGGUAAUACGGAGGAUCCGAGCGUUAUCCAGAUUUAUUGGGUUUAAAGGGAGCGUAGGUGGAUUGUUAAGUCAGUUGUGAAAGUUUGCGGCUCAACCGUAAAAUUGCAGUUGAAACUGGCAGUCUUGAGUACAGUAGAGGUGGGCGGAAUUCGUGGUGUAGCGGUGAAAUGCUUAGAUAUCACGAAGAACUCCGAUUGCGAAGGCAGUUCACUGGACUGCAACUGACACUGAGGCUCGAAAGUGUGGGUAUCAAACAGGAUUAGAUACCCCAGUAGUC